rnacentral:rRNA from 1 species
UACGGAGGGUGCAAGCGUUGUCCGGAAUCAUUGGGCGUAAAGGGCGUGUAGGCGGCCUUGCAAGUCCGACGUGAAAUCCCUCGGCUCAACCGGGGAAGUGCGUUGGAUACUGCGAGGCUUGAGUGCGGGAGAGGAAGGUGGAAUUCCCAGUGUAGCGGUGAAAUGCGUAGAUAUUGGGAGGAACACCGGUUGCGAAGGCGGCCUUCUGGACCGCCACUGACGCUGAGACGCGAAAGCGUGGGGAGCAAACAGG